CUGCAAUGUGUAGAUUUCAU
rnacentral:snRNA from 1 species